rnacentral:rRNA from 1 species
GUGUAGCAGCCGCGGUAACACGGGGGGUGCAAGCGUUAUUCGGAAUCACUGGGCGUAAAGAGCGCGUAGGCGGUUUCUGAAGUCAGAUGUGAAAGCCCGGGGCUCAACCCCGGAAGUGCAUUUGAAACCAAGGGACUUGAGUAUGGGAGAGGGAAGUGGAAUUCCUGGUGUAGCGGUGAAAUGCGUAGAUAUCAGGAGGAACACCGGUGGCGAAGGCGACUUCCUGGACCAAUACUGACGCUGAGGCGCGAAAGCGUGGGGAGCAAACAGGAUUAGAUACCCCCGUAGUCC